GGGAGGGAAGAUGGCGGCGGCGGGCGGGGGGGGCGCCGCGGUGUCGGUGCUGGCCCCCAGCGGGCGGCGGGUCACGGUACGGGUGGGGCCCGGCACGGUGCUGCUCCAGAUCCUCGAGGAGGUCUGCAGGAAGCAGGGCGGCAGUCCCAGCGAGUACGGCCUCAAGUUUCAGAGGAGCGUGUUGGAUCUCUCUUUACAGUGGAGGUUUGCCAGGCUGCCCAACAAUGCCAAGCUGGAGAUGGUGCCAGUCUCUAAUAGAGUGGGAAUUGGAAACACGCAGGUUCGGAUCGCAUUGCAGUUGGAUGAUGGCUCCCGUUUACAAGACACCUUUCUCUGUGAACAGACUUUGUGGGAACUUCUCAACCAUUUUGCAAAGAUCAGGGAGUUUAUGGAACAACAUGGUGAAUUCUCUCCAGUCUGUAUUUACAUGCGAGAUGAGAUCUCAGGAAAAGAUGCCCUAGAGAAGACAACGCUGAAGUCACUUGGCCUGACUGGAGGCAGCGCCAUCAUCAGAGUUGUCAUGAAGAAAUGCAGUUCAUCUGGUCAGGAGGAAGCUGUGGGUGCCCCGGUGCAGUGUAAUGAGCUGACAGUGAGGCAAGGCUCUGUUGAAGGAGCAGUGGAUGUGCCCCUACCUCAAGCAAGCACAUUCCCAAAGGACUUGGACCACGGGGAUGAGGCCAUGCCUUUAAACAGCUGUACAGACAAGCAAGACUCGAUUAGAGAAUCUCAUGCCAGCUUGGAGGAGCUGUGGCCUUCUGCAGAGCCUGAGUCGACCCCAUUUGUCCCUUUUUUUGGAGAUGGACAGCGUCUGGGGGACACUUUCGUAGCUGCACCAUCUCUUGGGUUAGAUAUGUCAUCUUCAAAGUUGCCAACAACUUCUUCCAGCCCUGGAGGCCCUUCUAAGCCAAAGAAGUCUAAGAACAGCCAAGAACUGCAAAAGGAGCAAGAACAGCUUGUAGACCGGGAGCCACUGGUAUGUCACCUGGACCUGCUAGAACCACUUCCUGCUGGCCCAGAAGAGCUUCCUGAUGAGUUUUUUGAAGUCACAGUGGAUGAUGUGCGGAAACGCUUGGCACAGCUGCAGAGUGAGAGGAAACGCCUGGAAGAAGCUCCACUGAUGACAAAAUCCUUGAGGGAGGCUCAGCUGAAGGAAAAGUUAGAGCGUUACCCAAAGGUGGUGCUGAGAGUCCGUUUUCCAGACCGUUACGUUCUACAGGGUUUCUUCCAUCCUAGUGAAACUGUUGGCAUUUUGAGAGCCUUUGUAAGAAGCCAUCUUGCAGAUGCAGACUUGCCAUUUUACUUGUUUAUUGCACCUCCCAGAACCGUCUUGAACGUUGAAAGUUUGACGCUCUUUGAGGCUAAACUCUUUCCAACUGCUGUCAUUCAUUUUGGAUCUGAAGAGUGCAGGGAUUAAAGCAUGCUCUGGCUUCACAGAAAAGUUUCUGAGAUGCAGUGAGCGCUGAAAGAAAAUGUCAAGAUCUUGAGGUCUGAAUGGGGAAGUGGGCACCUCAAGUUGUGAAAGAAACUGUCAUAGUUUAGAAGUGUCCUGUGUCAGUUGGGGGAAAGUGAUGGAGAUUUACUGUAGUAUACAGCAGGUAUUUUCUGAGCUAAGAGCUAUGUGAUUCUGUGGUGAUCGAUGUCUCUGUUACCAAACAAGUGUUUGGGUUUCAUUUUUAAACAGAUUGUUACCUGAGGUCAGACCUGCUGAGCUCUGCAGUGUCCCCUUCUGCAGCUGAUGUAUUAGUAGCCAGAUGUUUGUCCAAAUCAUUAGUUCCUUCUGCUUCGUCAUCUUUAGAAUCAACAGUUCCAUCACUGUCUGAACCAGAAGCGGGAAGUGACAAAAAGACCAACGAGCAGCCAGAGCCAGCAAGUGCGCGUGAAGCUCCACCAGUGCUGAGGAGGGCCCCUGGGAAAAUACCCAAAUGGCUGAAGCUGCCAGGUGGAAAGAGAUGAAACAUUGUGGGCUGCUGGAUCAGCAUCAGCUGUGCCCCUUCCCUGAUGAAAUUACUCAGAAUGUGUAAGAAAUUGUUGGUGACCCUGGCGAGACCUGAUCUGUAUGAACAUUAGUAAUAAAUAGAAAAUUGCUAUCUCAGAUGGCAGGUGCACCAUUUGGAGGAGUGGACGGCCUGUUUGUGGUCUUCAUUACCACAGAGGCAAGGUUGAAGGUUUCUUGCAUGCAAAUAAUAUGAAUAGAGAAUUAAGGGGGAAAUAAUUCCUAUAUACUUUCUGUGAAGGACUUUGUUUCUAUGCAUAUUUUUAAAUCUUCCCAGUUCUACCUUCAGAGAUAAUUCAAGUCAAGGUGCCUGAAUUCUAGCAGCAAGAUACAAUCCCAUUCAGUUUUACCUAUAGUUAAGUGCUGUCUAGAAUAAGAUUUCUCUCUGCUUCUUGCUGGCUGGGGUUAGUGCUGCUGCUAAUUCUGGGUAUAGAUGGCUAGAAAGUGAGCAAAGGGGAAGCACUUAGGUGACUUCCAACAGUUCAGAUGGGCUUUUUGUGUGAACCUCUUCUUCUGCUGCACUCAUUGUUUUCAGUUGCCAGAAUCUUGUUAACAAAGAACACAGGUAUCUGUUAAUGGAAUAAAAAGUGAGUGGAAAAAAACAUCCAGUAAAAGGAUCUCUUCAUGUGACACUGAAUCUGUGGACUUCCAUGGUCCCAGUGUUUCUCAGCAGAGUUGCUGUUCUCUGCAGCGCUAUUCAGGUACUGAGGGAAGCACUAGUCCAGAUCUUUGCCUCCUGCAGAUGUUGUGUGUGGGUUAAUAUUGUUGGUUAGAAUUGCACUUACACUGGAGAUGAGCUCUGUAGUGCCACAGUAGCCACGGUGCUGUAUUUUAUUUGAAGUCGUCUCCAUGGGUCAGUGAUCCACAUUGGGCAGCUGGGGUUCCAUGUUACGGUAAUAACAUGUUUUCCAUUUUCCCUGCCAUAGACAAUUGUUCCCUGAACUACGUGUGCAUCUGCACAAUUUCUAGAUGGAAUAAAGCAGAGUGGCCAUAGGAGGCCAUUUUGUCGGUCUCUUUGAUAA